GAGUUUGAUCCUGGCUCAGGACGAACGCUGGCGGCGUGCUUAACACAUGCAAGUCGAACGAUGAUGCCCUGCUUGCAGGGUGGAUUAGUGGCGAACGGGUGAGUAACACGUGGGUGAUCUGCCCCGCACUUCGGGAUAAGCCUGGGAAACUGGGUCUAAUACCGGAUACGACCCCCUGGUAGGUCAGGGGGUGGAAAGAUUUUAUCGGUGUGGGAUGAGCCUGCGGCCUAUCAGCUUGUUGGUGGGGUAAUGGCCUACCAAGGCGUCGACGGGUAGCCGGCCUGAGAGGGUGAUCGGCCACAUUGGGACUGAGACACGGCCCAGACUCCUACGGGAGGCAGCAGUGGGGAAUAUUGCACAAUGGGCGCAAGCCUGAUGCAGCGACGCCGCGUGGGGGAUGACGGCCUUCGGGUUGUAAACUCCUUUCGACAGGGACGAAGCUUAUGUGACGGUACCUGUAGAAGAAGCACCGGCUAACUACGUGCCAGCAGCCGCGGUAAUACGUAGGGUGCGAGCGUUGUCCGGAAUUACUGGGCGUAAAGAGCUCGUAGGUGGUUUGUCGCGUCGUCUGUGAAAUCCCGGGGCUUAACCUCGGGCGUGCAGGCGAUACGGGCAUAACUUGAGUGCUGUANGGGAGACUGGAAUUCCUGGUGUAGCGGUGAAAUGCGCAGAUAUCAGGAGGAACACCAAUGGCCGAAGGCAGGUCUGUGGCACGUAACUGACCGUGAGGGAGCGAAAGCAUGGGUAGCGAACAGGAUUAGAUACGCUGGUAGUCCAUACCGUAAACGGUGGGCGCUAGGUGUAGGGGACUUCCACGUGUUUUGUGCCGCAGCUAACGCAUUAAGCGCCCCGCCUGGGGAGUACGGCCGCAAGGCUAAAACUCAAAGGAAUUGACGGGGGCCCGCACAAGCGGCGGAGCAUGUGGAUUAAUUCGAUGCAACGCGAAGAACCUUAACUGGGCUUGACAUACACCAGAUCGCUACAGAGAUGUAGCUUCCCUUGUGGCUGGUGUACAGGUGGUGCAUGGUUGUCGUCAGCUCGUGUCGUGAGAUGUUGGGUUAAGUCCCGCAACGAGCGCAACCCUUGUCUUAUGUUGCCAUCACGUGAUGGUGGGCACUCAUGAGAGACUGCCGGGGUUAACUCGGAGGAAGGUGGGGAUGACGUCAAAUCAUCAUGCCCCUUAUGUCCAGGGCUUCACACAUGCUACAAUGGUCGGUACAGCGAGUUGCCACACCGUGAGGUGGAGCUAAUCUCUCAAAGCCGGCCUCAGUUCGGAUUGGGGUCUGCAGCUCGACCCCAUGAAGUCGGAGUCGCUAGUAAUCGCAGAUCAGCAACGCUGCGGAUGAAUACGUUCCCGGGCCUGUACACAC
rnacentral:rRNA from 1 species